GAGUAGGGCGGGACACGUGGUAUCCUGUCUGAAUAUGGGGGGACCAUCCUCCAAGGCUAAAUACUCCUGACUGACCGAUAGUGAACCAGUACCGUGAGGGAAAGGCGAAAAGAACCCCGGCGAGGGGAGUGAAAAAGAACCUGAAACCGUGUACGUACAAGCAGUGGGAGCCUCUUAAUGGGGUGACUGCGUACCUUUUGUAUAAUGGGUCAGCGACUUAUAUUCUGUAGCAAGGUUAACCGAAUAGGGGAGCCGAAGGGAAACCGAGUCUUAACUGGGCGUUAAGUUGCAGGGUAUAGACCCGAAACCCGGUGAUCUAGCCAUGGGCAGGUUGAAGGUUGGGUAACACUAACUGGAGGACCGAACCGACUAAUGUUGAAAAAUUAGCGGAUGACUUGUGGCUGGGGGUGAAAGGCCAAUCAAACCGGGAGAUAGCUGGUUCUCCCCGAAAGCUAUUUAGGUAGCGCCUCGUGAAUUCAUCUCCGGGGGUAGAGCACUGUUUCGGCAAGGGGGUCAUCCCGACUUACCAACCCGAUGCAAACUGCGAAUACCGGAGAAUGUUAUCACGGGAGACACACGGCGGGUGCUAACGUCCGUCGUGAAGAGGGAAACAACCCAGACCGCCAGCUAAGGUCCCAAAGUCAUGGUUAAGUGGGAAACGAUGUGGGAAGGCCCAGACAGCCAGGAUGUUGGCUUAGAAGCAGCCAUCAUUUAAAGAAAGCGUAAUAGCUCACUGGUCGAGUCGGCCUGCGCGGAAGAUGUAACGGGGCUAAACCAUGCACCGAAGCUGCGGCAGCGACACUAUGUGUUGUUGGGUAGGGGAGCGUUCUGUAAGCCUGUGAAGGUGGCCUGUGAGGGUUGCUGGAGGUAUCAGAAGUGCGAAUGCUGACAUAAGUAACGAUAAAGCGGGUGAAAAGCCCGCUCGCCGGAAGACCAAGGGUUCCUGUCCAACGUUAAUCGGGGCAGGGUGAGUCGACCCCUAAGGCGAGGCCGAAAGGCGUAGUCGAUGGGAAACAGGUUAAUAUUCCUGUACUUGGUGUUACUGCGAAGGGGGGACGGAGAAGGCUAUGUU
rnacentral:rRNA from 1 species